rnacentral:rRNA from 1 species
CGUAGGGUGCAAGCGUUGUCCGGAAUUACUGGGCGUAAAGAGCUCGUAGGCGGUUUGUCGCGUCGUCUGUGAAAACCAGCAGCUCAACUGUUGGCUUGCAGGCGAUACGGGCAGACUUGAGUAUUUCAGGGGAGACUGGAAUUCCUGGUGUAGCGGUGAAAUGCGCAGAUAUCAGGAGGAACACCGGUGGCGAAGGCGGGUCUCUGGGAAAUAACUGACGCUGAGGAGCGAAAGCGUGGGUAGCGAACAGGAUU